UACGUGCAGGAGAAACUAAGCUCAACCAAAGGAGGAAACUGAAAAAAACCCAGAAGGAUAUUAAUCAGACAAGACAUGAGUAACCUGAAGAAGAGCACUCUUUGUACUGACAAAGUGGAAAUGGCAUCUAUCCAAACAAACUGGCUCAAUGAGCCUUGGCUUUGAUGACCUUCUGCCUUGUUGGCCUUCUGGUUUAAUUGUGAGCAAAGAAAGGACUAGCUGCCCUGACACAGCUCCGAUUGCAUUGCUCAGAGAAAGGGAGAGGCAUGGUGGAGAGAGAGAUUUCAUUAUUUACAGACCAAGGAACUGAGAAGAAAAUAGAGAGUAAAGGAGCCAUUUGGUCCACCUUUACAUCUGCCUGGGGCUUUGAUGACAGCCAUCAGCAGGUGCAGCAAGGGCAGCUGCAGAUGAGAUUCCUUCACAAGAGCAAGCGUGAGAUGAAAGAUGUUAUUUAGCAGGAAAAAGAGAUUAAUUUGUCUUGAUUUCUACUUAUGUGCUGACGAUCACCACUGACAUACUCAAAAUGGAUUUUUUGCAUCCUGUGAGUCGGUGGUGCUGGCUCAGCCUGGUAGGUAGACUUCAAAAUACCCCUGCCCCAUUUGCAAAUGCUUAAGAAAUUUGAUGAAUUUUAGUGCAUACAUGGUGAAGUUUCCAAUGAGUUAGAAGUCAACAUGAUAUUUUAAAAAAAUUUCACUGCUUUGGAGAACAUCAGACUUUGGUUCAUCCUGAGACACUCAUUUGCC